rnacentral:lncRNA from 1 species
CAGCCGCAGUCACAGCCUCAGCCGCAGCGGCCGUGCUACCUAGGUGAUAGCGGAGCGGCUGGGUAGGAAGCAAUUGUUCUCAAACUUCACUAGCCCCGUCGGCGCGGACGCUUGUCGAGAAUGCAGAUUCCUGGGUACUGCCAGAUACGGUUGGUGAUCUUGUAGGGCUGGAGUGGAAGCCAUGAAUCUGCAUUUUCAUCAUUUCUGGCCCUCUGCCCGGGCUGGGGUGAUUCACGGGGAUUCGUAGUGGCCCCAAAGGAGCACGCAGAACCUCGGCUGCUGUGCAUUUAUCACCUCUUUUGUUCCCGGAGGCCGCACCCCAGAAUUGAGCAUACCACAAAAAAGUUCUCAUUUUGUGUCCUCCCAUCCCAUUCUCCUCACUAACCAAAGGCUAGGAAUUAUCUGUGAAUGUAGGACCACUGGAUUUGCAGUCUUCAUCUGACACUGUGGAGAGUUUCUAGGAAUGAAACAGAUAUAUGGCCUUGGGUCCCCUUUUUUUUUCUUUUUUUUUUUUUUAAUAGAGACGAGCAUCUCACUAUGUUGCCUAGGGUAGUCUUGAACUCCUGGCCUCAAGCAAUCCCCACCCGACUCCGCCUCUCGAAGUGAUGGGAUUACAGGCAUAAACCACCACGCCUGGCCAGAAGGUGCUUUAACACCAAAUCUGAAAAUUGUUCAGAAGAGAAACAUUGAGCAUGAACACCAUCUGUGCGAGUCAUUUACUUAUUGCCCCUCACCUCUAAAUCUACCUUCUGUACUCUUCUUCCCUGUAAUGAUGGGGCUAGUUGUCCUCAAACUGUUUCUCAGACUUCUUUUUAAGCUUGCUUCCUGUUCAGUUCUGCCAAUAGGGGUCACUAGAGAGAGACUGGGAGGCAGAAGGAGAGAAUAUGCUUCCUGUUUUUUCUGUUCUUGUUAAUGUUGCUUACAGGACCAGCAAUGCUUCUUCACCUAGAGACACUUCUCCCAGCAGUGGCAGUGCCACUUCAGCUUCUUUCAGCACUACUGGAAUCAGCCUCAGUGAUUCCCCCUGUACCCGCUCAGAGAUUAUCCACAGCAGCCAGAUGGUUCUACCUUCCACAAAGAUUGUGGUUGCAAUUCUGGGCUUCUAAGUUCUGGUUACUUCAUAUUUUUCCUUUUGUUCCUCCAGCCCUAGAGGUGGUAGCUGCUUUCUGAAGUUAUUAUUUCUAGAUGACUUUUGGUUUUUCAGCCUUUGUAUUUUGCUUUUCAGCCCUCUAAUGCCUGUAUAACCAAUUUCCCUGUAAUAAAUAAAUUUCCUCCAUUGAA